GCGGCGUGCCUAAUACAUGCAAGUCGAGCGAGCGGAACUAACAGAUUUACUUCGGUAAUGACGUUAGGAAAGCGAGCGGCGGAUGGGUGAGUAACACGUGGGGAACCUGCCCCAUAGUCUGGGAUACCACUUGGAAACAGGUGCUAAUACCGGAUAAGAAAGCAGAUCGCAUGAUCAGCUUUUAAAAGGCGGCGUAAGCUGUCGCUAUGGGAUGGCCCCGCGGUGCAUUAGCUAGUUGGUAAGGUAAAGGCUUACCAAGGCGAUGAUGCAUAGCCGAGUUGAGAGACUGAUCGGCCACAUUGGGACUGAGACACGGCCCAAACUCCUACGGGAGGCAGCAGUAGGGAAUCUUCCACAAUGGACGCAAGUCUGAUGGAGCAACGCCGCGUGAGUGAAGAAGGUUUUCGGAUCGUAAAGCUCUGUUGUUGGUGAAGAAGGAUAGAGGUAGUAACUGGCCUUUAUUUGACGGUAAUCAACCAGAAAGUCACGGCUAACUACGUGCCAGCAGCCGCGGUAAUACGUAGGUGGCAAGCGUUGUCCGGAUUUAUUGGGCGUAAAGCGAGCGCAGGCGGAAGAAUAAGUCUGAUGUGAAAGCCCUCGGCUUAACCGAGGAACUGCAUCGGAAACUGUUUUUCUUGAGUGCAGAAGAGGAGAGUGGAACUCCAUGUGUAGCGGUGGAAUGCGUAGAUAUAUGGAAGAACACCAGUGGCGAAGGCGGCUCUCUGGUCUGCAACUGACGCUGAGGCUCGAAAGCAUGGGUAGCGAACAGGAUUAGAUACCCUGGUAGUCCAUGCCGUAAACGAUGAGUGCUAAGUGUUGGGAGGUUUCCGCCUCUCAGUGCUGCAGCUAACGCAUUAAGCACUCCGCCUGGGGAGUACGACCGCAAGGUUGAAACUCAAAGGAAUUGACGGGGGCCCGCACAAGCGGUGGAGCAUGUGGUUUAAUUCGAAGCAACGCGAAGAACCUUACCAGGUCUUGACAUCUAGUGUCAUUUGUAGAGAUACAAAGUUCCCUUCGGGGACGCUAAGACAGGUGGUGCAUGGCUGUCGUCAGCUCGUGUCGUGAGAUGUUGGGUUAAGUCCCGCAACGAGCGCAACCCUUGUUAUUAGUUGCCAGCAUUAAGUUGGGCACUCUAAUGAGACUGCCGGUGACAAAGCGGAGGAAGGUGGGGAUGACGUCAAGUCAUCAUGCCCCUUAUGACCUGGGCUACACACGUGCUACAAUGGGCAGUACAACGAGAAGCGAGCCUGCGAAGGCAAGCGAAUCUCUGAAAGCUGUUCUCAGUUCGGACUGCAGUCUGCAACUCGACUGCACGAAGCUGGAAUCGCUAGUAAUCGCGGAUCAGCACGCCGCGGUGAAUACGUUCCCGGGCCUUGUACACACCGCCCGUCACACCAUGGGAGUCUGCAAUGCCCAAAGCCGGUGGCCUAACCUUCGGGAAGGAGCCGUCUAAGGCAGGGCAGAUGACUGGGGUGAAG
rnacentral:rRNA from 1 species